UACGUAGGGUGCAAGCGUUGUCCGGAAUUAUUGGGCGUAAAGAGCUCGUAGGCGGUCUGUUGCGUCGGCUGUGAAAACCCGGGGCUCAACCCCGGGCCUGCAGCCGAUACGGGCAGACUAGAGUUCGGCAGGGGAGACUGGAAUUCCUGGUGUAGCGGUGAAAUGCGCAGAUAUCAGGAGGAACACCGGUGGCGAAGGCGGGUCUCUGGGCCACUACUGACGCUGAGAAGCGAAAGCAUGGGGAGCGAACAGG
rnacentral:rRNA from 1 species